CCUACGGGUGGCAGCAGUGGGGAAUAUUGCACAAUGGGGGCAACCCUGAUGCAGCAACGUAGCGUGAGUGAUGACGGCCCUACGGUUGUUAAGCUUCUUUUAUAGGGACGUUAAUUACGGCACCUGUGCCUUUUUCUAUGUCUAACAUCGUUCCAGCAGCUGUGGUAAUAUGCAGGCGGCGAGGGUUAUCCGGAUUUACUGGGCGUAAAGGGAGCGUAGGGGGGCUUUUAAGUGAGUUGUGAAAUACUUGGGCUCAACUUGAGAACUGCAUUUCAAACUGGAAGUCUUGAGUUCAGGCGAGGAGGAUGGAAUUCGUGGUGUAGCGGUGAAAUGCGUAGAGAUUAGGAAGAACACCGAUGGCGAAGGCAGUUCACUAAACUGUAACUGACACUGAGGCUCGAAAGCGUGGGGAGCAAACAGGAUUAGAUACCCCAGUAGUC
rnacentral:rRNA from 1 species